rnacentral:rRNA from 1 species
AGGACAAACGCUGGCGGCGUGCGUAACACAUGCAAGUCGAACGAGCCGGGAGACCGGCGAGUGGCGGACGGGUGAGGAACACGUGGAUAACCGACCCUUGACUGGGGAAUACCAGGACGAAAGUUCUGUUAAUACCGCAUACGCUGGAGACAGGAAAGCUCUUCGGAGCGGUCGAGGACGGGUCUGCGGACGAUUAGCUCGUUGGUGGGGUAACGGCUCACCAAGGCGAUGAUCGUUAGCUGGUCUGAGAGGACGACCAGCCACACUGGGACUGAGACACGGCCCAGACUCCUACGGGAGGCAGCAGUGGGGAAUAUUGGACAAUGGGCGCAAGCCUGAUCCAGCAAUUCCGCGUGGGUGAAGAAGGUCUUCGGAUUGUAAAGCCCUUUCGACGGGACGAUGAUGACGGUACCCGUAGAAGAAGCCCCGGCUAACUUCGCGCCAGCAGCCGC